AACCCAUGGUGAGGGCACCUUCUUAAUAGUUCCUUGUAUCUCUCCCAUGCAUCGUAAAAGUGUUUCUGGAUCCAUCUGCACAAAAGAAGAGAUAUAAUUCCUUAAUUU
rfam:Gossypium hirsutum cultivar TM-1 unplaced genomic scaffold scaffold2823.1, whole genome shotgun sequence